UACGAAGGGUGCAAGCGUUACUCGGAAUUACUGGGCGUAAAGCGCGCGUAGGUGGCCCCGUAAGUCCGCUGUGAAAGUCAAAGGCUCAACCUUUGAAAGCCGGUGGAUACUGUGGGACUAGAGUACGGAAGAGGCGAGUGGAAUUCCUGGUGUAGCGGUGGAAUGCGCAGAUAUCAGGAGGAACACCAAUAGCGAAGGCAGCUCGCUGGGACGUUACUGACACUGAGGCGCGAAAGCAUGGGGAGCGAACAGG
rnacentral:rRNA from 1 species